AAUGUCCUUUCACUCUUUAGACUGGAGCUCUACUCUGUGUGGAAAGUGGGUCCAGGGACAGGAAGAUGGUGGGCGAUGUGAUUGGAGCCCAGGCCUACGCCUCCACUGCCAAGUGCCUGAACAUCAGCUCCCUGAUCUUCAGUGUCCUCAUGGUCAUUAUCUGCAUCAUCAUUUUCUCUACCACCUCUGCGGUAGUCUUUCAGUCGCUUUCACAAAGAACGCCACAUUCUGGAUUCUAGCUGCCCUGUGUCCCACGGUCCACAUCUGGCCCUCCCCCUGCCUGAGGCUGAGGGCUUGACCCUUUACCCUAUGUGUAUGCAAAUGUUACCUUCGUAUAUCUGUCCACAGUGGAGUCAAUAAAGUACACUUGGUGGCAACUCUG
rnacentral:lncRNA from 1 species